AUUGAACGCUGGCGGCAGGCCUAACACAUGCAAGUCGAGCGGCAGCACGGGUACUUGUACCUGGUGGCGAGCGGCGGACGGGUGAGUAAUGCCUAGGAAUCUGCCUAGUAGUGGGGGAUAACGUCCGGAAACGGGCGCUAAUACCGCAUACGUCCUACGGGAGAAAGUGGGGGAUCUUCGGACCUCACGCUAUCAGAUGAGCCUAGGUCGGAUUAGCUAGUUGGUGAGGUAAUGGCUCACCAAGGCGACGAUCCGUAACUGGUCUGAGAGGAUGAUCAGUCACACUGGAACUGAGACACGGUCCAGACUCCUACGGGAGGCAGCAGUGGGGAAUAUUGGACAAUGGGCGAAAGCCUGAUCCAGCCAUGCCGCGUGUGUGAAGAAGGUCUUCGGAUUGUAAAGCG
rnacentral:rRNA from 1 species